GUGCACGCUGGCGGUAGGCCUAACACAUGCCAGUCGAACGGCAGCACAGUAAGAGCUUGCUCUUACGGGUGGCGAGUGGCGGACGGGUGAGGAAUACAUCGGAAUCUACUUUUUCGUGGGGGAUAACGUAGGGAAACUUACGCUAAUACCGCAUACGACCUACGGGUGAAAGCAGGGGAUCUUCGGACCUUGCGCGAUUGAAUGAGCCGAUGUCGGAUUAGCUAGUUGGCGGGGUAAAGGCCCACCAAGGCGACGAUCCGUAGCUGGUCUGAGAGGAUGAUCAGCCACACUGGAACUGAGACACGGUCCAGACUCCUACGGGAGGCAGCAGUGGGGAAUAUUGGACAAUGGGCGCAAGCCUGAUCCAGCCAUACCGCGUGGGUGAAGAAGGCCUUCGGGUUGUAAAGCCCUUUUGUUGGGAAAGAAAGGCAGCAGGUUAAUACCCCGCUGUUCUGACGGUACCCAAAGAAUAAGCACCGGCUAACUUCGUG
rnacentral:rRNA from 1 species